rnacentral:lncRNA from 1 species
GGGACCCUUAAAUGUCAUCUAGUCCAAUUCCUUGGCAAUGAGCAGGGACAUCUACAGCUGGAUCAGGUUGCUCAGAACCAUGUCUAGCCUGACCUUGAAUGUCUCUAGGUAUGGGGCAUGAUCCUCUGACCAGACAAGGUUUUCCCUUCCCAAUAUAGUUGUGACUGCGUAUGGGGGCAACCUGUGUUUGGAGACUUGAGAGAGAGCACAACCAAGGCUGUUUUAAGAAAGGUUGAACUGAAGGGAGCUUUUAGAAAGGCUAUGGACCUGAAUGAGCAGUUGCUAGAGGUGAUGGGAGAACCAAGCAUUGGAAACUCAACAGAUCGUAGCUUUAAUAGGGACCUUUCCAAAACAACAUGUCCCCCUGCCCUGCUGAGGACACCACCCUCUUCCCCAUGCAUGGAAAUGUCCAGGAGAAGGAAUAGGGGAGAUUGGGAAGGAAAGGAGGAGGAAGAAGAGAUAUGAAACUUAGGUAGCUCUAUGGGUCAAAAAUAUACAACACUGAUAUCAUACAUGGCUGUCAGUCCUCUCCAACCAGCAGGUUGGGGCCAGGUGUUGGCCCCGUGUGGUCAUCCCUGCUCCAAGUCACCCCCUGCCCCGCGAGCAUCACUUCCGCCGCCCAAUUUGGGCCAUGAGGUGUGCAUUGGCAGCAGCCUUCGCCCGCAAGUUCUUGGCUUUGGCGAUGUUGAAGAGGAUAUUCAUGAUGUUGGUGGGGACGUCGAGGGACAGGGUGACCUUGGUGCGGCGGUCGCUUUUGGCACGGUUUUGGUCUACAAAGAAUUUGCAGGCGGGGAUUCUUUCACCUUAUCGACAAUGGUACAACCAGCCCCACGGCCAGCCCCGAUGUCACCCUGACCCUGCAAGCACCUGGAGGUGGAUUGCCAUUCCCAAUCUUCUGGCCCCAUCUUGUGGCAAGAGCAUCUUACGGCAAGCAGGACAAGUCACCAGGAUGCAACAGCAUCUCUUGGGGGUCUUCUGGCUGGAAAUGGGUCACCCCUUCCUAAGAUCAGGAAGAAGAAGAAAAACUGCAGCAAAUCUGAGAAAGUCAGAAUGAAAUCUGCUGCUGCUGGAGGGUGACCCAUGAGUGGGAAUUGCUGGGACCCCGUAAGCAAUUUCCAGGCAUUAUUAUGGGAUGGUGCCCAUCGAUGGACAACUCUACCUCUUGGAUUUAAAAGAGAAAAGUGAAUCACUGCAGCACGGCAGCUCCGGCAAAGUGGGGACAGAGCUGUAUCAUCCACAGCAGAGGUAUAGCAUACAGCUG